rnacentral:rRNA from 1 species
UACGUAGGGGGCAAGCGUUGUCCGGAAUCAUUGGGCGUAAAGCGCGUGUAGGCGGCCUUGUAAGUCCGUUCUGAAAGCCCGGGGCUCAACCCCGGGAGGCGGAUGGAUACUGCAGGGCUCGAGUACGGAAGAGGCGAGUGGAAUUCCCGGUGUAGCGGUGAAAUGCGCAGAUAUCAGGAGGAACACCAAUGGCGAAGGCAGCUCGCUGGGACGGUACUGACGCUGAGACGCGAAAGCGUGGGGAGCAAACAGG